AAUCCGUCGAGCUAAGCUGAGGUGUGAUGGGGAGCCAUUUAUGGCGAAGUAUCUGAUUCCACACUGCCAAGAAAAGCCUCUAUCGAGUGAAUAGGUGCCCGUACCGCAAACCGACACAGGUAGGUGAGGAGAGAAUCCUAAGGCCAUCGGAAGAAUUGCUGUUAAGGAACUCGGCAAAUUGACCCCGUAACUUCGGGAGAAGGGGUGCCUACGAAAGUAGGCCGCAGAGAAUAGGCCCAAGCAACUGUUUAGCAAAAACACAGGUCUCUGCUAAAGCGAAAGCUGAUGUAUAGGGGCUGACGCCUGCCCGGUGCUGGAAGGUUAAGGGGAACACUUAGCGCAAGCGAAGGUGUGAACUUAAGCCCCAGUAAACGGCGGCCGUAACUAUAACGGUCCUAAGGUAGCGAAAUUCCUUGUCGGGUAAGUUCCGACCCGCACGAAUGGCGUAAUGAUUUGGGCACUGUCUCAACAGCAAAUCCGGCGAAAUUGUAGUGCAAGUGAAGAUGCUUGCUACCCGCGAUUGGACGGAAAGAC
rnacentral:rRNA from 1 species